rnacentral:lncRNA from 1 species
GAUUCCUCGGCCCUGCCCCACAUCUAAUGAAUCAGAAUCUCUGCGAGAGAGGCUGGGUUCCACAAUUUAUACCAGUUUGCAAGGUGAUCUCUUGCAGACUAAAGUUUGAGAACCAUUGAGACUACACAGUGUGACUUGGGAGAGGAAUGAGACAGAGAGAAGUACUAGCUGCAUCAGAACACCCUAGAUGAUGAAUCCAGUGAGGGUCAACAGCAGAGAGGAGCUGCCCAGCAGAGAGGAGCUGCCCACCACACCCUCCACCCCAUCUUCCUGAGCCUUCUGUGGAAGCACUGGUUUGCUAGCCUCUGAAGGGCCAUGGGCCCAGCACCAGGUGCCCUCAGCUCUGAGGCCAGGCCGUUACCUGCAUUCAAGAUGGACACUGGCUAGAGAAAGCAUGUCCACAGGGCUGGUCAGUAGGAAAGGGGUUGUGUUUCUGGAAGGGUGCAUCUAACCCAGGGGUUGGUGAGCAUUUUCCUAACCCAGGGCCAGGUAGUAAACAUUUUUGGCUUUGCCAGUCAUGCAGUCUCUGUCACAGCCACUGCACUCUACUACUUUAGCACAAAAGCAGCCAUAGGCAAUACAUUUAAAAAGACGAGCGUGACUGCGUUCCAAUAAAAUUU